rnacentral:lncRNA from 1 species
AUCAAGGCAAGCAGACAUAGAAGAAGGUGUAGAUGUCAGUGACCUGCCUGCCUUGAUGGAUUCAGACGAUGAUGUUAAUAGAUGACCUUCUUCCUCUCUCUCCUGCUGUCUGUAUCUCCCACCACCCCAACUUUCCAUGACUCAGUCUCACACACCGUCACCACUGCCACCAUCUCUCAGCCUUCCAGUGUGCCCUCUAUCUUCUCGAUUCUGAUCUAGAGACAGAAUCCAUGUGAAUGGAAAUGAUAAGUGCUACCUCCACAUCAGGCCCUUGGAAGCCUCCAUGUGCCUGUCACCAGCUUUUCCAUUUCCAGAUGACUGGGAUGGAUUCUGCCCUCAGAGAAACCUUCAAAGGAGUGAUGUCAGCAACAUGCUGGAAUGAGCCAUUCCCUUUGUCUCUCUGCCUUCAAAAUACAAUUAAAUGGACAUUCAUUGAUCAGUGGAGGAUACCCACACAACACAACAGGAUGCCUGAG